UACAUACUCCCUCUGUCCGAAAAUACUUGUCAUCAAAAUGGAUAAAAAAGAUGUAUCUAGAACUAAAAUACGUCUAGAUACAUACCCUUUUAUCCAUUUUGAUGACAAGUAUUUCCGGACAGAGGGAGUACUAG
rnacentral:pre_miRNA from 1 species